GACGAACGCUGGCGGCGUGGAUUAGGCAUGCAAGUCGAACGAGAAAGUCGGUUUCGGCCGAUGAGUAAAGUGGCGCACGGGUGAGUAACGCGUGGAUAAUCUACCCUUUAGUCCGGAAUAACUUGCCGAAAGGUGAACUAAUACCGGAUGACAUCCCGGGUUCUCCGGAAACCGGGAUCAAAGAAGGCCUCUGCUUGCAAGCUUUUGCUGAAGGAUGAGUCCGCGUACCAUUAGCUAGUUGGUGGGGUAAUGGCCUACCAAGGUUAUGAUGGUUAGCUGGUCUGAGAGGAUGAUCAGCCACACUGGAACUGAGACACGGUCCAGACUCCUACGGGAGGCAGCAGUGGGGAAUAUUGGACAAUGGGCGAAAGCCUGAUCCAGCAAUUCCGCGUGGGUGAAGAAGGUCUUCGGAUUGUAAAGCCCUUUCGACGGGGACGAUGAUGACGGUACCCGUAGAAGAAGCCCCGGCUAACUUCGUG
rnacentral:rRNA from 1 species